GUAAUUGUCCUUGUAGUUGGCGGCUGCGGCGGCAGGGAUGUUAAAAUGUACGGUAUCUCUCGUAUAUAUGGCCGGUUAGCUCAGUUGGUUAGAGCGUGGUGCUAAUAACGCCAAGGUCGCGGGUUCGAUCCCCGUACGGGCCAACGUUAUUAUAUUAGCAGUUGUGUCUCUGAGGAUAUAACCUGGCAUUUAUCCACCAAAAGUUUGGCGGUACACUCUCUGGCUACUCCUGUCGAACUGAUGAGCAGGACUCUAAUUAUAGGUGAAGAAUUUUGACUCAUUCAUCACUAAGUGAAAGAUACUGACGAGUCAUCUGGACCGUCUUCAGAUUUGGGGGGGGGUGUAUGAACCCCGUAACUUCACUUCAAGGAAAGGACUUCUGAAGCUAAGCUAGCUGUAGCAGGUCUUCAGGAAGCUGUUCCAGAGACGGGACCAUCAUAAUAAAAGGAUGCCUCACUAGGCCAGUAGGGUACUAGAGGCUUUAUAGGCUAAAAGCAGAUCUGAUAAACAGGUAGGACCAAGUCCAUUAAGAGCUUUAUAAACCAAUAAAAGGAUCUUAAAAUCAAUUCUGAAGCAAACAGGUAGCCGGUGCAGAGACUUCAAAAUUGGUGUAAUGUGUGUUUUCUCUCUGGUCCCAGUCAACACAUGUGCAGCUAUGUUUGAAGUAAUUGUAAUUGAGCUAUAUUCUUUUUAGGGAGAGCAUUACAAUAGUCAAUCCUGCAGGUAAUAAAGGCGUGCAUUAGUGUCUCUGUGUUGGCUUAAGAGAGAAAGGGGUGCACACUGGCAAUGUUCUUGAGAUAAUAAAAUGCAUUCUUAGUUAUGUUUCUAUUGUGAGGUUCAAAACUAAGAUCUGAAUCAAAGAUAACUGGGUUUUCUACUUGUUGACAGGGGUUUAAUGCCAGUGCUUGCAGUUUCGUAUUGAGUUUGUCUCUCUGAGCUUCAGUAUCAGUAACCAAGACUUUAGUUUUGUCCUGGUUUUGCUGUAGAAAAUCUGUCAUCCAUAACUUGAUAUCUAAAACACAUUUAAACAUGUCUUAAUGGAUGUCUUUGAAGCAAUCAAAAAGGGAAAUGAGCUAAUCUGAAAAAGCUGAGUUUGUAUCUUGCAUGUGGAUACUAAAUCAGUCUCUAUAUUGCAGGUUUGAUGCUCUUUAAAACCCUGUUAUAUCAUGAAUACUGAGUAACUUGAUGCGUUUGGAUAACCAACACAGUUUUACAGGUUCAUACGAGACAUAAAAUCUGUCAAGGCAAUGUUGUGAACCAGCUGGAAGAAUGCUUUGAAGUGAGGACAAAAGGUCAAACUAUAUUUCCAGAAUAGUCUCUUUGCAUUUUUACUGCUGUGGGUCCAGCAGCAAGGUUUGAACAUGUUGGUUUAAUGAGGAAGGAGAGUAAGGAUUCAAACUUUUUUUUUACAGUGAUCGUUUCUGUUGGACCCAUGCAUUUAUGGCCUGUAUAAUUUAGCCUGAAAGUAAAGUGCCCCACAGAGACAAACAGCAGUGACUGGUUGCUUUUUUAAAGGUUAAAGGCCAUGACUUCGUUUAGAGUUCAACUAUAAAAAUGCUAACACUGAGCUGUAUCAACAAUACUUCUGUGGUCCAAAAGGCUGUUUUUUUUUUUCAGUUUCACUGGUCACUUAUUUACUGCUGUUUGUACCAUAUAAUGCCAAGAAUAGUUUGGCUGUUCAACACAAGUGUUCUGUAUUAAAUUACAGCAUUGUUACAAAAAUAGUUGUCAGCACUUAAGUCAGUCUUGCCUUUGUUGAGGUUCUCAUAGCUCCAUACAAAUGGCCACCAUGUUGUAUAAGUCUUUGUCAUUCACAUGUUCCCAGUCCAAACUGCUUGCUUUGAAGUGGCUGAGAUCACUGUUUUUGAUUAUUUGUACAAUCCUCUUAUUUUGUGUCUGUUAUAGUCUCUAGACAGAUAACAGAUUUUCUCGAAAUAAUUAACAUAUAUGCAGAAUAAACUUAAAAGAAAAAAGAAGGACUAUUGGACAGGAAGUGAGUUUUUUUGGGGUAUAUUUUAAUUAAAAAAAGAAAACUCAUGAGAGCUUAACUGAGUCAAUGUCUUAGUGUCAUUUGCACAGAUGUUCACAAAGAGCCAAGGGCUCUUGUUGGUGAGGUCACUUUUUCCAGGGGUCAAAGGUGACCUCUGCCUCGCAUCAUAGCACAUGCCACUUACGUGAUGUUAUAGAGGAAUGAGUUGGUAUACAAACACAGUUCUGCUUAAAGAAACCAUACCAUUGCACUGGGUGACAUGAAGAGUUUUGGUCAUGAUACUUUGUUUAAAA